rnacentral:rRNA from 1 species
GACAUCCAUAGAAUUCUGCAGAGAUGUGGGAGUGCCUUCGGGAACUAUGAGACAGGUGCUGCAUGGCUGUCGUCAGCUCGUGUUGUGAAAUGUUGGGUUAAGUCCCGCAACGAGCGCAACCCUUAUUCUUUGUUGCCAGCGAUUUGGUCGGGAACUCAAAGGAGACUGCCGUUGAUAAAGCGGAGGAAGGUGGGGACGACGUCAAGUCAUCAUGGCCCUUACGAGCAGGGCUACACACGUGCUACAAUGGCGUAUACAAAGGGAAGCGAAGGUGCGAGCUGGAGCGGAUCUCAUAAAGUACGUCUAAGUUCGGAUUGGGGUCUGCAACUCGACUCCAUGAAGUCGGAAUCGCUAGUAAUCGUAGAUCAGAAUGCUACGGUGAAUACGUUCCCGGGCCUUGUACACACCGCCCGUCACACCAUGGGAGUGGGUUGCACCAGAAGUAGAUAGCUUAACCGCGAGGGGGGCGUUUACCACGGUGUGAUUCAUGACUGGGGUGAAGUCGUAACAAGGUAACCA